UACGUAGGGACCGAGCGUUGUCCCGGAUUCAUUGGGCGUAAAGAGCUCGUAGGCGCUGUUCAAGUCGAACGUGAAACUCGGAGCUCAACUCCGAGCCUGCGUUCGAUACUGGAUGGCUAGAGUCUGGUAGGGGAUCUGGAAUUCCUGGUGUAGCGGUGGAAUGCGCCAGAUAUCAGGAGGAACACCGGUGGCGAAGGCGGAUCCUGGACCGGCAUUGACGCUGAGGAGCGAAAGCUAGGGGAGCAAACGGG
rnacentral:rRNA from 1 species